rnacentral:lncRNA from 1 species
UGAUUUUUAUAUACGUGCAUCAUUCAUUAUGGAAAGAAGUUGUUUCGAAAAUACCUGCAUUAUGUUAGGCUUCAAUGUGGCCAUACAUAACCGUUUCAUAUUCGAGUGUAUUGGUGAAGUGAUAAAUAUGUGUCCAUACAUAACUGUUCCGUGUUCAGGUGUACAAAAAAAUAGUUUGAUAUGUGUGCCCUAACAUUUCGUGUUCGGGGGGAGUAGUGUUU